rnacentral:rRNA from 1 species
AUGUUCAAGAAAUUUGGAGAGUCAUUAUACAAGGUGGGGUCUUAUGUUACCGAGGAGCAGUUGCAUCGAAGGAAAUACAUAGUUAAACAUGCCGAUGUGGUUAAUAGGGAAACUUGGUGCAAGGCUGCUUUCGUGGUAGAGGUCGAUGAGGCUCUACAAGAAUUUGUAUGCGAGUGUGGCUUCUACCCUCACUCUGGAAUAUUGUGCUGCCAUGCUUUGAAGGUACGUCUUAUGUAG